rnacentral:tRNA from 1 species
GCGCCCUUAGCUCAGCAGGAUAGAGCAACAGAUUUCUAAUCUGUGGGUCAGGAGUUCGAAUCUCUUAGGGCGCGCCA